rnacentral:rRNA from 1 species
AGCGGCAGCGCGGGGCAACUGGCGGGAGCGGGAACGGGUGAGGAAUACAUCGGAACGUGUCCGUAGUGGGGGAUAGCCCGGCGAAAGCCGGAUUAAUACCGCAUAUGCUCUACGGAGGAAAGCGGGGGAUUCGCAAGAACCUCGCGCUAUGGGGGCGGCCGAUGUCCGAUUAGCUAGUUGGUGGGGUAAAGGCCUACCAAGGCGACGAUCGGUAGCUGGUCUGAGAGGAUGAUCAGCCACACUGGGACUGAGACACGGCCCAGACUCCUACGGGAGGCAGCAGUGGGGAAUUUUGGACAAUGGGGGCAACCCUGAUCCAGCCAUGCCGCGUGCGGGAAGAAGGCCUUCGGGUUGUAAACCGCUUUUAGCCGGGAAGAAAAGGCACGGACUAAUACUUCGUGUUCUUGACGGUACCGGCGGAAUAAGCACCGGCUAACUACGUGCCAGCAGCCGCGGUAAUACGUAGGGUGCGAGCGUUAAUCGGAA